CAGUCGAGGGGCAGCGGGGUAGGAAGCUUGCUUUCUGCCGCCGGCGACCGGCGCACGGGUGAGUAACACGUAUGCAACCUGGCCGUGACAGAUGGAUAACCGGGAGAAAUCCCGCCUAAUACAACAUAAUGCCGGGAGGGGACAUCCCCUGCCGGCCAAAGGGGGCGACCCCGGUCACGGAUGGGCAUGCGGCGCAUUAGGUAGUUGGUGGGGCAACGGCCCACCAAGCCGACGAUGCGUAGGGGUUCUGAGAGGAAGGUCCCCCACAUUGGAACUGAGACACGGUCCAAACUCCUACGGGAGGCAGCAGUGAGGAAUAUUGGUCAAUGGCCGGAAGGCUGAACCAGCCAAGUCGCGUGAGGGAAUAAGGCCCUACGGGUCGUAAACCUCUUUUGCCAGGGAGCAAUGCCGUCCACGUGUGGACGGAAGGAGAGUACCUGGAGAAAAAGCAUCGGCUAACUCCGUGCCAGCAGCCGCGGUAAUACGGAGGAUGCGAGCGUUAUCCGGAUUUAUUGGGUUUAAAGGGUGCGUAGGCGGCCUGCCAAGUCAGCGGUAAAAUUGCGGGGCUCAACCCCGUACAGCCGUUGAAACUGCCGGGCUCGAGUGGGCGAGAAGUAUGCGGAAUGCGUGGUGUAGCGGUGAAAUGCAUAGAUAUCACGCAGAACCCCGAUUGCGAAGGCAGCAUACCGGCGCCCGACUGACGCUGAGGCACGAAAGUGCGGGGAUCAAACAGGAUUAGAUACCCUGGUAGUCCGCACAGUAAACGAUGAAUGCUAGCUGUCCGGGGGGAUUGACCCCUGGGUGGCAC
rnacentral:rRNA from 1 species